GAUGAACGCUAGCUACAGGCUUAACACAUGCAAGUCGAGGGACCGGCGAAAGGGUGAGUAAAACGUAUCCAACCUGCCCUUUCCUCGGUGAUAGCCUUUCGAAAGAAAGAUUAAUACCCGAUAUAAAGGAUGGUGAGGCGUUCGAUUAGCUUGUUGGUGUGGUAUCGGCUAACCAAGCCUUCGAUGGCUAGGGGUUCUGGUAGGAAGGUACCCCAGAAUGGAAAUGAGACACGGACCAAACUGCUACGAGAGGCAGCAGUGAGGAAGAUUGGUCAAUGGGUGCUAGCCUGAACCAGCCAAGGAGCGUGAAGGAUGAAGGCUUAUGGAUCCUAAACUGCUUUUAUAUAAGAAUAUGUAUUAUAUGAAUAAGGAUCGGCUAACUCCGUGCCAGCAGCCGCGGUAAUUC
rnacentral:rRNA from 1 species